rnacentral:misc_RNA from 1 species
GGGUGAAGUCGUAACAAGGUAGCGUAGGGGAACCUGCGGCUGGAUCACCUCCUUAAUCGACGACAUCAGCUGCUCCAUAAGUUCCCACAGGAAUUGCUUGAUUCCAUUGAAGAAGNCGAUAAGAAGCAGCCNGAAAUUGGGUCUGUAGCUCAGUUGGUUAGAGCGCACCCCUGAUAAGGGUGAGGUCGGCAGUUCGAAUCUGCCCAGACUCACCCAAUUUUGUGUGGGAACCUGUAGAAAUNCGGGGCCAUAGCUCAGCUGGGAGAGCGCCUGCCUUGCACGCAGGAGGUCAACGGUUCGAUCCCGUUUGGCUCCACCACUACUGCUUCUAGAAGUUGAAAGCUUAGAAACGAGCAUUCCAUCGUGAUGAUGGUGAAUGUUGAUUUCUAGUCUUUGAUUAGAUCGUUCCUUUAAAAAUUUGGGUAUGUGAUAGAAAGAUAGACUGAACGUUACUUUCACUGGUAACGGAUCAGGCUAAGGUAAAAUUUGUGAGUUCUCUUAAUUGAGAAAUUCGAAUUUUCGGCGAAUGUCGUCUUCACAGUAUAACCAGAUUGCUUGGGGUUAUAUGGUCAAGUGAAGAAGCGCAUACGGUGGAUGCCUUGGCAGUCAGAGGCGAUGAAGGACGUGCUAA